GCCUGGGUGGCUCAGUCGGUUGAGCGUCCGACUUCGGCUCAGGUCAUGAUCUCACGGUUCGUGAGUUCGAGCCUCGCGUCGGGCU
rnacentral:tRNA from 1 species